GUUUCCGUGCGUGAACCUGCGGAAGGAUCAUUG
rnacentral:rRNA from 1 species